rnacentral:rRNA from 1 species
AUGAACGCUAGCGACAGGCCUAACACAUGCAAGUCGAGGGGCGAGCACAAGGAGCAAUCUGAGGUGGCGACCGGCGCACGGGUGAGUAACACGUAUGCAACCUGCCUGUAAGCGGGGAAUAACCCGUUGAAAGACGGACUAAUACCGCAUAAUACUAAAUUACUGCAUGGUAAUUUAUUUAAACAUUUAUGGCUUACAGAUGGGCAUGCGCAUGAUUAGCUAGUUGGAGAGGUAACGGCUCCCCAAGGCAACGAUCAUUAGGGGUUCUGAGAGGAAGGUCCCCCACACUGGUACUGAGACACGGACCAGACUCCUACGGGAGGCAGCAGUGAGGAAUAUUGGUCAAUGGACGAGAGUCUGAACCAGCCAAGUCGCGUGCAGGAAGAAUGUUCCCUAUGGAUUGUAAACUGCUUUUGCAGGGGAAUAAAGUGCAUCACGUGUGAUGUUUUGUAUGUACUCUGCGAAUAAGGAUCGGCUAACUCCGUGCCAGCAGCCGC